AGAGUUUGAUCCUGGCUCAGAUUGAACGCUGGCGGCAUGCCUUACACAUGCAAGUCGAACGGCAGCAUGGAGAGCUUGCUCUCUGAUGGCGAGUGGCGAACGGGUGAGUAAUACAUCGGAACGUGUCCGUUUGUGGGGGACAACCGUCCGAAAGGAUGGCUAAUACCGCAUAAGACCUGAGGGUGAAAGCCGGGGACCGCAAGGCCCGGCGCAGACGGAGCGGCCGAUGAUUGAUUAGCUAGUUGGGGAGGUAAAGGCUCACCAAGGCGACGAUCAAUAGCUGGUCUGAGAGGACGACCAGCCACACUGGAACUGAGACACGGUCCAGACUCCUACGGGAGGCAGCAGUGGGGAAUUUUGGACAAUGGGGGCAACCCUGAUCCAGCCAUGCCGCGUGCGGGAAGAAGGCCUUCGGGUUGUAAACCGCUUUUGUCAGGGACGAAAAGCUCCGGAGUAAUAUGCCGGAGUGCUGACGGUACCUGAAGAAUAAGCACCGGCUAACUACGUGCCAGCAGCCGCGGUAAUACGUAGGGUGCGAGCGUUAAUCGGAAUUACUGGGCGUAAAGCGUGCGCAGGCGGUUGGGUAAGACAGAUGUGAAAUCCCCGGGCUUAACCUGGGAACUGCAUUUGUGACUGUCCGACUGGAGUACGUCAGAGGGGGGUGGAAUUCCACGUGUAGCAGUGAAAUGCGUAGAUAUGUGGAAGAACACCGAUGGCGAAGGCAGCCCCCUGGGACGCAACUGACGCUCAUGCACGAAAGCGUGGGGAGCAAACAGGAUUAGAUACCCUGGUAGUCCACGCCCUAAACGAUGUCUGCUGGUUGUUGGGAAUUUAAUUCUCAGUAACGAAGCCAACGCGUGAAGCAGACCGCCUGGGGAGUACGGUCGCAAGAUUAAAACUCAAAGGAAUUGACGGGGACCCGCACAAGCGGUGGAGCAUGUGGUUUAAUU
rnacentral:rRNA from 1 species